AAAUUGGAUUUCUGACUUCGAGGAGACAAAGGAAGGCUCGAUUCAGAAAGUAUGUGAGGGAGCUUCGGAGGUUUGCGGCGGCGAUUGGAAGCAGAGUUAAGGCUUGAAGCGGAGAGGGUAUGGGGCAGCUUAGAACUUGCAAUUGUAGGAGAAGGAGAAGGGGAAGGGGAAAACGCAGGCGGCGGUGGAGGUGGGUGGAGAGAAGGGGAUGGAGAUGGAGCAACACGUGGAGGUAUAGAAUUAGUAGAAGAAGGAGGGCGGUUUGAAGAGUGGAGGAAAACGGCAGGAGUUUGCUCGGAGACGGCAAGUGGUUCGCCAGAAGCGAAGGAGCAAAGAGCUGAGCCAGUAAUGCGAAGCGAACGGCAAUAAUCAGAGUGAGCCGCUGCGAGGUGGUGGCGCGCAUAGACUGCUUCCUUCAUGAGGCGGCGCCGCUCCUUGCACCGCCUGACGGUGUCCUCGUUGUCUAGCUUUGACGCUCUACAGCCCAUCUAGAGAACAAAGCAGAGAGAGAAGGGGACUGGAUGGCGCGUUUUGAGGUGGUGGCGCGCGUUUUGAGCUUUGGUUUAUGCUGUAGAGAGAGUGAGGGG
rnacentral:misc_RNA from 1 species